rnacentral:rRNA from 1 species
AAUUUUGGUCAAUGGGCGCAAGCCUGAUCCAGCCAUGCCGCGAGAGUGAAGAAGGCCUCCGGGUUGUAACGCUCUUUCGUACGGAAAGAAAUCGCGCAGGCUAAUACCCUGCGCGGAUGACGGUCUCGUCAUAAGCAGCCCCGCGCAACGACGUGCCAGGAGCCGCGGUAAUACGUAGGUUGCGAGCGUUAAUCGGAAUUACUGGGCGUAAAGCGUGCGCAGGCGGUUGAUUAAGACAGGCGUGAAAUCCCCGGGCUUAACCUGGGAACUGCGCUUGUGACUGGUCAGCUAGAGUACGGCAGAGGGGGGUGGAAUUCCACGUGUAGCAGUGAAAUGCGUAGAGAUGUGGAGGAACACCGAUGGCGAAGGCAGCCCCCUGGGCCGAUACUGACGCUCAUGCACGAAAGCGUGGGUAGCAAACAGG